AGAAAAUAUCAUUAAUAUCGCGACAUCAAGCACACCGCAAGUACAAACAAGUUGAAUAACAUUUAAAUUUAUAGAUUUCUUGAAAGAAAGUUUCAUUAUCUAAAAUAAAAAUAUGUUGAAUCGGAAUAUCUUCGCACUACUUUUGAUAGGAGUCGCAUUUUGUGGGCUACUAGUUAACAAUGUAGAUGCCGGUGGAAAUCCUAUUACAAGAAGCUUAAGUGCGUUUGUUGGAUGUUUCACUCCAACUGAAGUUGAAACUCUUGAAUGCCAAAUAAAAGAUUUAGAAGUGAAGGGUGACUUUGCGGGAGCAGAUAAGUUAUAUAAGGAGUUGACAAAGCGAGCAGAGAAGCGUUUAAAGAAACAAUCAAAAAAAUAGUUCUUCUAUUCGGUUAACGAAAUAAUUAUCACCCAUGAAGUUUAAUUGUCACAUAUUAUAAUAAAUAUUUGUAAAAGAUCAAA